UUGAUGGAGUGCUUGCACUCCUGAGAGUUAGCGGCGGACGGGUGAGUAACACGUAGGCAACCUGCCCUCAAGACUGGGAUAACUACCGGAAACGGUAGCUAAUACCGGAUAAUUUAUUUCACAGCAUUGUGGAAUAAUGAAAGACGGAGCAAUCUGUCACUUGGGGAUGGGCCUGCGGCGCAUUAGCUAGUUGGUGGGGUAAUGGCUCACCAAGGCGACGAUGCGUAGCCGACCUGAGAGGGUGAACGGCCACACUGGGACUGAGACACGGCCCAGACUCCUACGGGAGGCAGCAGUAGGGAAUCUUCCGCAAUGGGCGAAAGCCUGACGGAGCAACGCCGCGUGAGUGAUGAAGGUUUUCGGAUCGUAAAGCUCUGUUGCCAAGGAAGAACGUCUUCUAGAGUAACUGCUAGGAGAGUGACGGUACUUGAGAAGAAAGCCCCGGCUAACUACGUGCCAGCAGCCGCGGUAAUACGUAGGGGGCAAGCGUUGUCCGGAAUUAUUGGGCGUAAAGCGCGCGCA
rnacentral:rRNA from 1 species